rnacentral:rRNA from 1 species
AACGAACGCUGGCGGCAGGCCUAACACAUGCAAGUCGAGCGAGGACUUCGGUCCUAGCGGCGGACGGGUGAGUCACGCGUGGGAACGUGCCGUGUGCUUCGGAAUAACCCUGGGAAACUGGGAGUAAUACCGAAUGUGCCCUUUGGGGGAAAGAAUUAUCGGCAAAGGAUCGGCCUGCGUUGGAUUAGGUAGUUGGUGGGGUAAUGGCCUACCAAGCCGACGAUCCAUAGCUGGUUUGAGAGGAUGAUCAGCCACACUGGGACUGAGACACGGCCCAGACUCCUACGGGAGGCAGCAGUGGGGAAUCUUAGACAAUGGGCGCAAGCCUGAUCUAGCCAUGCCGCGUGAGCGAUGAAGGCCUUAGGGUUGUAAAGCUCUUUCAGCGAGGAAGAUAAUGACUGUACUCGCAGAAGAAGCCCCGGCUAACUCCGUGCCAGCCGCCGCGGUAACAC